CAGAGGCUUCGACAGAAUGUUGAAGCAUUUGGACUUGGAACACUAAUUUCUCUGUCAAGUCUGAGGAAAUGCUUUGCAGUUUUACACGUGUUCAAGCAGCAUCUUCUGUUCUUUGGAUUCCAGUGAUGACAAAUACAGGGUACAGUCAGAUGGCACAGGAAUUCCUGGAAAAGAACUUUUACGAAUUUGGUGCCUACUGAAUGGGAAACUGUCACCCUCUUGGCUGAAAAUGGUGGAAUAAUUCCUUUGAGAUGACAGCAACAACACUGUACAUCACCACACAGUGGAUUAGCAGUGUUCAUACAGAUACAUAGGUACAGGAUUUCAGGUGAUGAAGCAUCACGUUAGGGAACUGUUGUCUGCAACUUCAUAAGCAGCUCUAACUUGAUUCAGUCUAA